GACGAACGCUGGCGGCGUGGUUAACACAUGCAAGUCGAACGGAAAGGCCCUGCUUUUGUGGGGUGCUCGAGUGGCGAACGGGUGAGUAACACGUGAGUAACCUGCCCUUGACUUUGGGAUAACUUCAGGAAACUGGGGCUAAUACAGGAUAGGAGCUCCUGCUGCAUGGUGGGGGUUGGAAAGUUUCGGCGGUUGGGGAUGGACUCGCGGCUUAUCAGCUUGUUGGUGGGGCAGUGGCUUACCAAGGGUUUGACGGGUAGCCGGCCUGAGAGGGUGACCGGCCACAUUGGGACUAAGAGACGGCCCAGACGCCUACGGGAGGCGGCAGGGGGGAAUAUUGCACAGUGGUCGGAAGCCUGAUGCAGCAACGCCGCGGGCGGGAUGACGGCCUUCGGGUUGUAAACCGCUUUCGCCUGUGACGAAGCGUGAGUGACGGUAAUGGGUAAAGAAGCACCGGCUAACUACGUG
rnacentral:rRNA from 1 species